rnacentral:rRNA from 1 species
UACAGAGGUCUCGAGCGUUGUUCGGAUUCAUUGGGCGUAAAGGGUGCGUAGGUGGCGCUGUAAGUCGGGUGUGAAAUCCUGAGGCUUAACCUCGGAACUGCAUUCGAUACUGCGGCGCUUGAGGACUGGAGAGGAGACUGGAAUUCAUGGUGUAGCAGUGAAAUGCGUAGAGAUCAUGAGGAAGACCAGUGGCGAAGGCGGCUUUCUGGUCUGUAACUGACGCUGAGGCGCGAAAGCGUGGGGAGCAAACAGG